GCCGAAGUAGCUCAGCUGGUAGAGCAGCGGUUUUGUAAACCGCAGGUCGUCGGUUCAAGUCCGUCCUUCGGCUCCA
rnacentral:tRNA from 1 species